GCAGAGUCGGGCAUUUAUCUCGGCCUUGGCAAAAUGUAGGUGUUCUCGUCGAACCACAUCGUAUUUGGAGUGUUUUCAAGUCCAUUCUGACAUAAUGGUGUAAUAGCCUACCGUUUUCUUGACAUUCUGUUGUAAAUACUGUUAUGGGCUCAUGUUUAACUUCUUGCGUCGAGCCAUCCGGGAUCGUGACUACAGCCUCAAGCUCAUUACCAUAACGCAACGUUAACUAUUCAUGAAAAUCGCAAAUGAAAUUAAAUCAAUAUGCUAGCUCUCAAUCUUAGACUUUUGUUAACAACACUGUCAUCUCAGAUUUUCAAAAUAUGCUUCUCAACCAUAGCAAAACAAGCAUUUGUGUAACAGUAUUGAUAGCCUAGCAUAGGAUUAUGCCUGGCAUUCAGCAUGUAACAUUUUCACAAAAACCAGAAAAGCAUUCAAAUAAAAUAAUUUACCUUUGAAGAACUUCAGAUGUUUUCAAUGAGGAGACUCUCAGUUAGAUAGCAAAUGUUCAGUUUUUACAAAAAGAUUAUUUGUGUUGACAAUUCGCUCCGUUUUCUUCAUCACGUUUGGGCAAGAAAAAAAACGAAAAUUAAGUCAUUUAAAACGCAAACUUUUUUCCAAAUUAACUCCAUAAUAUCGACAGAAACAUGGCAAACUAUGUUUAGAAUCAAUCCUCAAGGUGUUUUUCACAUAUCUGUCGACGAUAAAUCCUUCGUGGCAGUUGACUUUCUCUUCUGAAGAAAUGGAACGCGCAUGGACCUAUAGAUUACGCAAUAAUUUCGACACAGGACACCGGGCGGACACCUGGUAAAUGUAGUCUCUUAUGGUCAAUCUUCCAAUGAUAUGCCUACAAAUACGUCACAAUGCUGCAGACACCUUGGAGAAACGACAGAAAGGGCAGGCUCAUUCCUGGCGCAUUCACAGCCAUAUAAGGAGACAUUGGAACACAGCACCUUCAGAAUCUGGGGCAUUUCCUGUAUGAAACUUCAUCUUGGUUUCGCCUGUAGCAUUAGUUCUGGGGCACUCACAGAUAAUAUCUUUGCAGUUUUGGAAACGUCAGAGUUUUUUCUUUCCAAAGCUGUCAAUUACAUGCAUAGUAGAGCAUCUUUUCGUGACAAAAUAUCUUGUUUAAAACGGGAACGUUUUUAUCCAAAAAUUAAAAGAACGCCCCCCAUCUCGAAGAAGUUAACCAGUACGGCGUACCUCCACUAUUUAUUUUGCCGGGAUUCCGUACCGGACCGUACCGCCUUACUUUCACCCCUGGUCGGACUAGAAGUUAUAACUGUUCGAACAGUAAUGUUAGCUACAGGGUUAACGGUAAUGUUACUUGCUGUUGAGCAAUAACUUCAUAUUUAACAUUAGCCUAGUUCGCUAGCUAGCUACUUGUUGUAAAUACAAUUGCUUGUGUUCAAAACUAUGCACUAGCUAUAGUGUUAGUCACGCGGUAACCUAUAUUCCUAUUUUCCACAGCGGUGCUGGUCCCAACAAUUCUCUUUUCUUCUAGUUCUCCUGAUUUGACACUUCAUUUUAUCUGUGAUGAGCUGAAUGGUUACAGUCUGAAUGGGUCUUGAUAGUUUCAUUGCACAUGACCUGUUAUGGUGAAAGUGAUGGAUCUAUGGUAAGGAGUGUGAGCUGGAGGGGCAGCUGUCACCUGUAAGGGUGAAAAAGAAUAAUUAAAAGCUCUCCCCACCGGAGUCAGCAUCGAGGGACUGGAGGCCAUAGACGCAUCCUGGAAGUGGUAUGGAUGAAGUGCUAGCGGGCUGCCACUUCAUUGCCCCAUCGGUCAUCAUCUCCUCAUCCUCCCAAGGUGCAGCUAUGGGCUCCCCUCCUUCCCAGAAUGGCCCUAAUGUGGGCUGGAGUAGGCGAAGGAGGUGACUGCCAGGGAGUCAUGACGUAUGGCCGUUUUAGAGACCAUGAUUAAGAAGUAGUUUUAUGUAUUUUGUAUGUACAGUGUUGAAUUUCUUUUUUUAAACCCAAAGUGAAUUUUGUUGUUUAAAAAAAGUGUUUUCUUCUUUGUAAUAAAAAAUAAAAAAUUAUA